UUCACCACGCUCAGCCCCUCCAAGGCCACCUUCACCUUGCCGUACACAUCGUCCGGAGCCGCCACAGCGCUGAUCACGUGGCACUUGCCCUGCGUAAGGUAGUGGUCCUUCACGGGCAGCGACUGAUCCAGGAAGGUGCGGAAGCGCUUGCGAAUGGUGUCGGCGUUGUCGUCGCUGCGGCCGCUGGUCUCCCCGCGCUUCAGCAGGCGCUUCUCCAUCUCCUCCUCCGGGCAGUCGAAGAACAGCACCGUCUUGCACGGCAUAAUGCUGCUCUCAAACUGCUCCGCCUGGUCCAGCGCGCGCGGAAAGCCGUCGAUGAGGAAGAACUUGCCACCGCUGGCUAUCAUGUCCCGCUUCAGCAGGUUGAGCGUGACAGCCACCGGCACGAGCUUGCCCUCCUUCAUCAGCGCCUCGCACUUCUGGCCGACCUCGCUGCCGCUCUUCACCUCAGCGCGCAGCAGGUCGCCGGCGCUGAGGUGCACGCAAUCGUAGUCGGCCUUAAUCUUGUCGCACUGCGUGCCCUUGCCGCUGCCGGGGCCACCGAGCACGAACACAAUCUGGGCAUCGGCGGGCAGGCUGCCGGGCACGGACGGCAGCGCAAUCUCCUGUGAAGGGAGCAUGGAUUAAAAAUGUUGUAAGAUAUGUGAAAAUCGGUCGUUUCACAUGCGAGUGCUGAACCCAUCAGCCGUCAACGUGAAUCCAUCAAGACAUGCAAACCGGAUCCCGGAAUGUGCAUGCAUAUGCGCGCCCAAGCACAAGCACAAGAUGCAAGCCGUUUACGGCAAACACCACGCCUAGGGACCAGAGUGCCACAAAGCCCGCCCAAGCAAAGCCCCACCCACCUCCGACUUCUUGGGUGCGCCCAUAGCGUCCAGCGCCGCCUUCACCUUGCCGUACACCUCCUUUGGGGGAGGGACAGCGCUGAUCACGUGGCACUUGCCCUGCGCAAGGUAGUGGUCCUUCACAGGCAGCGACUGAUCCAGGAAGGUGCGGAAGCGCUUGCGAAUGGUGUCGGCGUUGUCGUCGCUGCGGCCGCUGGUCUCCCCGCGCUUCAGCAGGCGCUUCUCCAUCUCCUCCUCCGGGCAGUCGAAGAACAGCACCGUCUUGCACGGCAUGAUGCUGCUCUCAAACUGCUCCGCCUGGUCCAGCGCGCGUGGAAAGCCGUCGAUGAGGAAGAACUUGCCGCCGCUGGCUAUCAUGUCCCGCUUCAGCAGGUUGAGCGUGACAGCCACCGGCACGAGCUUGCCCUCCUUCAUCAGCGCCUCGCACUUCUGGCCGACCUCGCUGCCGCUCUUCACCUCAGCGCGCAGCAGGUCGCCGGCGCUGAGGUGCACGCACUCAUACUCCUCCUUGAUCUGAUCGCAUUGCGUGCCCUUGCCGCUGCCGGGGCCGCCGAGCACGAACACGAUCUGGGCAUCGGCGGGCAGGCUGCCAGGCACAGGCGGCAGCGCAAUCUCCUGCGGGCACGUGCAGCCGAGGACAUUCAGGUUAGGACCGAAUGGCACCAGCCGCAAUCAGAUGCUACGAAACAAAAGCUAUUACUUCCAUGCGGAGAUUAAUUGGCACAGCUGCUAUCCGUUUCCCGCCCCAGCAGCCCCGCAUUAUAGUCAAAAACGCCGUACAACGCAUCCCGGCUUUCCCUUACCUCUGAAACCGCAGCAGCCGCCUUCUUCGGCGCGUGCAAGCCCUCCAACACCACCUUCACCUUGCCGUACACAUCGUCCGGAGCCGCCACAGCGCUGAUCACGUGGCACUUGCCCUGCGCAAGGUAGUGGUCCUUCACAGGCAGCGACUGCUCCAGGAAGGUGUGGAAGCGCUUGCGAAUGGUGUCGGCGUUGUCGUCGCUGCGGCCGCUGGUCUCCCCGCGCUUCAGCAGGCGCUUCUCCAUCUCCUCCUCCGGGCAGUCAAAGAACAGCACCGUCUUGCACGGCAUAAUGCUGCUCUCAAACUGCUCCGCCUGGUCCAGCGCGCGCGGAAAGCCGUCGAUGAGGAAGAACUUGCCACCGCUGGCUAUCAUGUCCCGCUUCAGCAGGUUGAGCGUGACAGCCACCGGCACGAGCUUGCCCUCCUUCAUCAGCGCCUCGCACUUCUGGCCGACCUCGCUGCCGCUCUUCACCUCAGCGCGCAGCAGGUCGCCGGCGCUGAGGUGCACGCACUCGUAGUCGGCCUUAAUCUUGUCGCAUUGCGUGCCCUUGCCGCUGCCGGGGCCGCCGAGCACGAACACGAUCUGGGCAUCGGCAGGCAGGCUGCCAGGCACAGGCGGCAGCGCGAUGUCCUGUUGCAUGAACGGAGAGCACAGAAGGAGGCAAGACGUUUCAGUUUUACAGUGACCAAACAUCCACUUGGCGCUACGGCCCGAGUGCUUCCCAAAGCACCCAUAGCAUCCUGCUGUCGCAUACAGCGCUGUGCGCAUCCCGAAAUUAAAGCCCCAACAAUUGGACAUAAGACAAGCCCAUGUCCAUUCACGACCCAAAUCUACGUGCUCAGGUCACGGCGCCGCAAAGUCCACCCAAGCAAAGCCCCACCCACCUCGGACUUCUUGGGUGCGCCCAUAGCGUCCAGCGCCGCCUUCACCUUGCCGUACACUUCCUUUGGGGGAGGGACAGCGCUGAUCACGUGGCACUUGCCCUGCGCAAGGUAGUGGUCCUUCACAGGCAGCGACUGAUCCAGGAAGGUGCGGAAGCGCUUGCGAAUGGUGUCGGCGUUGUCGUCGCUGCGGCCGCUGGUCUCCCCGCGCUUCAGCAGGCGCUUCUCCAUCUCCUCCUCCGGGCAGUCAAAGAACAGCACCGUCUUGCACGGCAUGAUGCUGCUCUCAAACUGCUCCGCCUGGUCCAGCGCGCGUGGAAAGCCGUCGAUGAGGAAGAACUUGCCGCCGCUGGCUAUCAUGUCCCGCUUCAGCAGGUUGAGCGUGACAGCCACCGGCACGAGCUUGCCCUCCUUCAUCAGCGCCUCGCACUUCUGGCCAACCUCGCUGCCGCUCUUCACCUCAGCGCGCAGCAGGUCGCCGGCGCUGAGGUGCACGCACUCAUACUCCUCCUUGAUCUGAUCGCAUUGCGUGCCCUUGCCGCUGCCGGGGCCGCCGAGCACGAACACGAUCUGGGCGUCGGCAGGCAGGCUGCCGGGCACGGGCGGCAGCGCAAACUCCUGCAUAGGGACGAAAAUGCAAUGGAAAUCAGCAAGCCGAGAUUAAUAAUCAGUGGAAACUUACGCAUCAGUACACUUGCACUUCAGUACGCAUCCUACUACCGGGAGGAUACGGUAAGGCAGGCAGGCAGAGGCCAUCGAUUUCACGCUUGCCCCAGCUUUCCGUACGAUGUACCGUAUGCUAGGUUGCUUGACCGGAACCCGUGCAAGACGCACACGGAUAUACCACCGGUGAACAGCCAUGACCGCUCACCUCCAAAGCAGCCGCAGCAGGAGUAGCCGAAACUGUCGCAGUCACGCCCGCCUUCUUCGGCGCGUGCAAGCCCUCCAGCACCACCUUCACCUUGCCGUACACAUCGUCCGGAGCCGCCACAGCGCUGAUCACGUGGCACUUGCCCUGCGUAAGGUAGUGGUCCUUCACAGGCAGCGACUGAUCCAGGAAGGUGCGGAAGCGCUUGCGAAUGGUGUCGGCGUUGUCGUCGCUGCGGCCGCUGGUCUCCCCGCGCUUCAGCAGGCGCUUCUCCAUCUCCUCCUCCGGGCAGUCGAAGAACAGCACCGUCUUGCACGGCAUGAUGCUGCUCUCAAACUGCGCCGCCUGGUCCAGCGCGCGCGGAAAGCCGUCGAUGAGGAAGAACUUGCCGCCGCUGGCUAUCAUGUCCCGCUUCAGCAGGUUAAGCGUGACAGCCACCGGCACGAGCUUGCCCUCCUUCAUCAGCGCCUCGCACUUCUGGCCGACCUCGCUGCCGCUCUUCACCUCAGCGCGCAGCAGGUCGCCGGCGCUGAGGUGCACGCACUCGUAGUCGGCCUUAAUCUUGUCGCAUUGCGUCCCCUUGCCGCUGCCGGGGCCGCCGAGCACGAACACGAUCUGGGCGUCGGCAGGCAGGUUGCCGGGCACAGGUGGCAGCGCGAUGUCCUGCAUAAAAGCAACCAAGGGAACAAACGUGCAAUCAUAAGGUGUUGGCUGUGGCGCCGACCAUGACCCAGUGCCCUUGUACACAAAGCAAUGGGGCGUGCCGUACGCGCCGCACACACAGAACAGCGGUUUGGUGGCUGGAAACAUAAGAUGCGGCACGGUAUCCCUAUCUGCAGGUCGGCUUCUCAAGUGUUCAACUUAGGCAAGACGCACCUCCGAAGCAGCCGGGGCCGCUGCAAGUGCCGUCGCCGCUGCGCUCGCCUUCUUCGGCGCGUGCAAGCCCUCCAGCACCACCUUCACCUUGCCGUACACAUCGUCCGGAGCCGCCACAGCGCUGAUCACGUGGCACUUGCCCUGCGUAAGGUAGUGGUCCUUCACGGGCAGCGACUGAUCCAGGAAGGUGUGGAAGCGCUUGCGAAUGGUGUCGGCGUUGUCGUCGCUGCGGCCGCUGGUCUCCCCGCGCUUCAGCAGGCGCUUCUCCAUCUCCUCCUCCGGGCAGUCAAAGAACAGCACCGUCUUGCACGGCAUGAUGCUGCUCUCAAACUGCUCCGCCUGGUCCAGCGCGCGUGGAAAGCCGUCGAUGAGGAAGAACUUGCCGCCGCUGGCUAUCAUGUCCCGCUUCAGCAGGUUGAGCGUGACAGCCACCGGCACGAGCUUGCCCUCCUUCAUCAGCGCCUCGCACUUCUGGCCAACCUCGCUGCCGCUCUUCACCUCAGCGCGCAGCAGGUCGCCGGCGCUGAGGUGCACGCACUCAUACUCCUCCUUGAUCUGAUCGCAUUGCGUGCCCUUGCCGCUGCCGGGGCCGCCGAGCACGAACACGAUCUGGGCGUCGGCAGGCAGGCUGCCGGGCACGGGCGGCAGCGCAAACUCCUGCAUAGGGACGAAAAUGCAAUGGAAAUCAGCAAGCCGAGAUUAAUAAUCAGUGGAAACUUACGCAUCAGUACACUUGCACUUCAGUACGCAUCCUACUACCGGGAGGAUACGGUAAGGCAGGCAGGCAGAGGCCAUCGAUUUCACGCUUGCCCCAGCUUUCCGUACGAUGUACCGUAUGCUAGGUUGCUUGACCGGAACCCGUGCAAGACGCACACGGAUAUACCACCGGUGAACAGCCAUGACCGCUCACCUCCAAAGCAGCCGCAGCAGGAGUAGCCGAAACUGUCGCAGUCACGCCCGCCUUCUUCGGCGCGUGCAAGCCCUCCAGCACCACCUUCACCUUGCCGUACACAUCGUCCGGAGCCGCCACAGCGCUGAUCACGUGGCACUUGCCCUGCGUAAGGUAGUGGUCCUUCACAGGCAGCGACUGAUCCAGGAAGGUGCGGAAGCGCUUGCGAAUGGUGUCGGCGUUGUCGUCGCUGCGGCCGCUGGUCUCCCCGCGCUUCAGCAGGCGCUUCUCCAUCUCCUCCUCCGGGCAGUCGAAGAACAGCACCGUCUUGCACGGCAUGAUGCUGCUCUCAAACUGCGCCGCCUGGUCCAGCGCGCGCGGAAAGCCGUCGAUGAGGAAGAACUUGCCGCCGCUGGCUAUCAUGUCCCGCUUCAGCAGGUUAAGCGUGACAGCCACCGGCACGAGCUUGCCCUCCUUCAUCAGCGCCUCGCACUUCUGGCCGACCUCGCUGCCGCUCUUCACCUCAGCGCGCAGCAGGUCGCCGGCGCUGAGGUGCACGCACUCGUAGUCGGCCUUAAUCUUGUCGCAUUGCGUCCCCUUGCCGCUGCCGGGGCCGCCGAGCACGAACACGAUCUGGGCGUCGGCAGGCAGGUUGCCGGGCACAGGUGGCAGCGCGAUGUCCUGCAUAAAAGCAACCAAGGGAACAAACGUGCAAUCAUAAGGUGUUGGCUGUGGCGCCGACCAUGACCCAGUGCCCUUGUACACAAAGCAAUGGGGCGUGCCGUACGCGCCGCACACACAGAACAGCGGUUUGGUGGCUGGAAACAUAAGAUGCGGCACGGUAUCCCUAUCUGCAGGUCGGCUUCUCAAGUGUUCAACUUAGGCAAGACGCACCUCCGAAGCAGCCGGGGCCGCUGCAAGUGCCGUCGCCGCUGCGCUCGCCUUCUUCGGCGCGUGCAAGCCCUCCAGCACCACCUUCACCUUGCCGUACACAUCGUCCGGAGCCGCCACAGCGCUGAUCACGUGGCACUUGCCCUGCGUAAGGUAGUGGUCCUUCACGGGCAGCGACUGAUCCAGGAAGGUGUGGAAGCGCUUGCGAAUGGUGUCGGCGUUGUCGUCGCUGCGGCCGCUGGUCUCCCCGCGCUUCAGCAGGCGCUUCUCCAUCUCCUCCUCCGGGCAGUCAAAGAACAGCACCGUCUUGCACGGCAUGAUGCUGUUCUCAAACUGCGCCGCCUGGUCCAGCGCGCGCGGAAAGCCGUCGAUGAGGAAGAACUUGCCGCCGCUGGCUAUCAUGUCCCGCUUCAGCAGGUUGAGCGUGACAGCCACCGGCACGAGCUUGCCCUCCUUCAUCAGCGCCUCGCACUUCAGGCCGACCUCACUGCCGCUCUUCACCUCAGCGCGCAGCAG
rnacentral:lncRNA from 1 species